rnacentral:rRNA from 1 species
AGCGAAACGGGAAGAGCCCAAACCAACAAGCUUGCUUGUUGGGGUUGUAGGACACUCUAUACGGAGUUACAAAGGACGACAUUAGACGAAUCAUCUGGAAAGAUGAAUCAAAGAAGGUAAUAAUCCUGUAGUCGAAAAUGUUGUCUCUCUUGAGUGGAUCCUGAGUACGACGGAGCACGUGAAAUUCCGUCGGAAUCUGGGAGGACCAUCUCCUAAGGCUAAAUACUCUCUAGUGACCGAUAGUGAACCAGUACCGUGAGGGAAAGGUGAAAAGCACCCCGGAAGGGGAGUGAAAUAGAACCUGAAACCGUGUGCUUACAAGUAGUCAGAGCCCGUUAAUGGGUGAUGGCGUGCCUUUUGUAGAAUGAACCGGCGAGUUACGAUUUGAUGCAAGGUUAAGCAGUAAAUGUGGAGCCGUAGCGAAAGCGAGUCUGAAUAGGGCGUUUAGUAUUUGGUCGUAGACCCGAAACCAGGUGAUCUACCCUUGGUCAGGUUGAAGUUCAGGUAACACUGAAUGGAGGACCGAACCGACUUACGUUGAAAAGUGAGCGGAUGAACUGAGGGUAGCGGAGAAAUUCCAAUCGAACCUGGAGAUAGCUGGUUCUCUCCGAAAUAGCUUU